CAUUAUUCUGUUGUUAAUCCAGCAUUUUAAAAAAAGAGAGAGAGAAAUUAUGUCUGGAGUCUUAAAGAUAUGUAGCGGGACUGCCAGUCUAGGACACCGUAGGUGACCCAUCCCCAUCUUAUCAGCGAAGACCUCAGAUCCCAACGAUCUUACAAUUUACUUAGUGUGAUGCAUUAACAACUCAACUACAGCGCAAGUUGUCUACAAAGACACACGUAUGUAUAAGAUACGAGGAGAAUCAAAGGAAAACACUUCAUUAUUUCUGUCAAGCAGAAUUCAUCUUGAACUAAAGUCAACUAAAAUACAGAUGCUUAAUUCUUCGGACUCAUUAGACAAGCCCUUAUUGACCAUCAUAAUUUUUCAGGCUCAUUACCUUUAUUGACCACCAUAUUUGAAGCUCUGCACAACUUAAAGGAAAGCUGAAGAAAAGAAUGUUUAGGGUAUUUCUCCAUGCCUCUAGAGAGGAAGAAUGAAAGACCUACCUAACUAGGGGUGUUUAUUCCUAAGAAACUCAAAGUGAUUUGUACUCUGCUGUGAUGUCUACCAGAAACAGUAAAAGGACCACACUGCACCAGAAGUUCAUGGCUUGAAGGGCACACAGAGGUCACACAGUUUGAUGCCUUUCUCCUUUCCAGUGUUCAGAUUGGAUUACACUGUAUAAAUAUAUUCAGAGCAGAGGACAAGGAAAAGAAAUGGGUACAAAGAGGACAAAAGCUGUAUUUCUUACAUGCAAACAGUUUCUAAAACAAAUGUGUCCUACAGCCACGUAACAGGAUUAAGGGGGACAGAAGCGGAGACGAUAAAAACUUCUCCAGGGUUUUUCUGUGGAGAAGGACAUUCUAAUUCCCAAUAAGUCAAUUAACAAUGGACUCUCAAAGAUCUUCACAGUAAGUUUCAUUCUAACCAAAAGCAAACCUAGUGAAAAAACUGUUAACACAGAAUAUAAAUAACUGAAGCAAAGGGUUGGAUUGUUCUGAUCUUGUCUGUCCUGUCACAUGUGAUGGGGAUUGAUGCUUAAACGAUUCCAUGACUGGCCUUUACUGCUUUCCUAUGAAGAAUCACUAGAUUCAUAGUAUUUCCUUCCACGAAAUACUGUAGGGGAAUCAUAAAUACGAUCCUUGAGAAUCAGGGAUUUUAGAGACCUUCACUGAGUGAAGCAGUUUCUAAUCAUUGAACCUAGAGUCCUGAUGAAGAGGAGACUCCUCUUCCAAAUAAAGAAGACUAAUAUUUC